GAAAGAAAAAGGGAGAGAAAAGGAAGAAAGGAGGGGGAAGUUGGGGAUUUUUCUUAGAGAGAAGAAUGGGUUUGGAGCUUUCAUGAGCAGAGAACCAGCUUCUUCAUCAGUCUAAGCCAUUUUUGUACACUUUUCUUCUUAGUUUAUUUAGUUCUUAGUCUUUUAUUAUUUGAUUUCUUCCAUCUAUUUCUUGCUUUUGGUUGUAUUAAACAGCAUGAGUGAGUAGUUAAUUCAGAUUUCAAAGUUAGGUUUGUAAAUAUUUGAAUAAAUAUAUGGAUUUGAGUUAGUCUUCAUGUUAUAUUUAUGGGUAUUGUUGCCUUGAUUUGAUUUCUUGUGGGCGUAAUGCAAGUUUAGUGUAGAGCUCUACUAAAUAUUGAUUUUAAUCACUAAUUGAUGAACUAAUAAGUGAAAAUUAGUGGUGGGUGACUCAAGAUUUUAGAGUUUUAAUUUUAGACCUAGAGAUAGGCUAAGGUUUUAAGGGGAAUUUCAAGAUUAAUCAUUGCUUUUAAUGGGUUCUAGUUAGAUUGAUUACUACGAGAGUAGGAAACAUCUAAUUGAGACACUAUUUAAUUAGCUUGAGAAAGUAAUUAAGGGAAUUAAGGAUAAUAUCUCUCUUGGCCAAUUUUACCCAUAAUUAUGAAUAUCUUUAGGAAAUCUUAAUUGGUUCAUUUAUGAAAACCCUACUCUGGAAUCGCUUUCAUCGUAAUAAUAAUUUGAAUAUUAGAUUCUUGUCAUUUAAUUAAUUUUGCAUUUUAAUUAAUUGAUAUUCCAUUGCUUUAAUUUGGGACUUAAAUUUUGGUAAUUUCACUUAAUUGAUUUGAUUUGAUUUGUUCUUCAUAUCUCCAAUUUUAAUUAUCAAAAGUCUAAAUUACCUUACUGAUCAAUAUUUAAAUUUUCAUCCCUAUCCUCGAAGGAACGAUAGCACGAUCCAUGCGCUUGCGAAUUAUACUCAACAUAAACUACUUGAUACUUCAGCAGCAAUUUGGGCAAGCAUGAACAUAAGUCCUAUGAAUUGCGAACAGGAAUGUUGAUGCAUUUGAAUUAGGUGUUUCUAAAGUUGUGAGUCUCCAAAUCCAAUGCUGUUUAAUUCAUUGAAAAGCUAAGUCAGAGCAUUACAAAUGACAAAGAGGGAUCAAAGCCCGAAUUAGUCUCCACGAUUGACAAAAUGAGCUAUGGAUCUUUUGCAAAAGCUCAGACUCGAUGGGUCACGAUCAGUUUCAGUAUUUAUUUUAUAUCUGGAGUUUCAAAUGUCCAAAUGAAGCAAGGCCAAGCUCUAUUGAACCUUAAGAGCAAUCGCUACAACUUCUAUGAAGGGUUAGACGCGAGAUGAGGUCAUUUUAAUUGUAAAAAACGGCAAUCAAGUCGUCACAAUGAGCUAGACCGUCUGACUGAAUCAGUUUCGAUUUUUGGGCCAUAACUUGGGCUGU
rnacentral:misc_RNA from 1 species